rnacentral:rRNA from 1 species
CCUACGGGAGGCUGCAGUGGGGAAUAUUGGACAAUGGGCGAAAGCCUGAUCCAGCCAUGCUGCGUGUGUGAAGAAGGCCUUCGGGUUGUAAAGCACUUUCAGUGGGGAAGAAAGCCUUGGGGCUAAUACCCUCGAGGAAGGACAUCACCCACAGAAGAAGCACCGGCUAACUCCGUGCCAGCAGCCGCGGUAAUACGGAGGGUGCGAGCGUUAAUCGGAAUUACUGGGCGUAAAGCGCGCGUAGGCGGUCUGAUAAGCCGGUUGUGAAAGCCCCGGGCUCAACCUGGGAACGGCAUCCGGAACUGUCAGGCUAGAGUGCAGGAGAGGAAGGUAGAAUUCCCGGUGUAGCGGUGAAAUGCGUAGAGAUCGGGAGGAAUACCAGUGGAGAAGGCGGCCUUCUGGACUGACACUGACGCUGAGGUGCGAAAGCGUGGGUAGCAAACAGGAUUAGAUACCCCGGUAGUC